CUAGUUUGUCAACAUGGCUAAUUGUCAGGGAAAUGCAAAUCAAAACCACAGUGAAAUAUCACCUCACACCUGUCAGAAAGGCUAUCAUCAGAAAGGCCACAAAUAGCAAGUGUUGGGUAGGGCGUGCAGAAAAGGGAACUCUCAUACAUCGUUAUUGGGAAUGUAAAUUGGUACAACCACCUGUCUUCUGAAGCCAGCCUCCUCAUUUUAGGCUUCUCAAGGCUGUGACCUCUGCAGAGUAAAGCCUUCUUCUCAUAAAAUACUUUAAGAAAUAUUUAUUUUAUUUUGAUGCAAAACAGAGACUGUGUGAACACUGAGAGUAUGUACAGUAAGAAAAUGAUUGACGUGACCCCUGUCAACAUGGAGAUUACAGCCCAGCCAGGGAGAGACAGAGGCAACUGAAAAUCUCAUAAAUGACUAACUACAAAUGUGGCUGCAGGCUGUUGUCCCUGGGAACCAGGCAGCACUGGCUGGAAUUGGGAAUUUGGAAUGCUGUUUCACGACAGUCACCUGAAGAAGGUGUUGAAGGACCAUCAACUACUGCCCUCAGACCAAGAGGCCCACCUUUGGCAGCUAGGAAAGUCACCAGGAAAAUGAAACCAAAUCAAACAAAAUGACCUUAGAUGCUGGUUUGCAUACAUGACCCAGGGAACACUAAUGGUUCAGAUGCAAAUGCCCUAAGUAUAGGAUGGUAUAAAGCAAAGAGAAAAUUCCCUUUCAAAAGUCACAAUUCAAAAGGCUGGUUCAAAUCUUUAAAUGACAAAUUGUAUUUCUAGUCAAUACAGAGUACAGUAUCUUAAUCUAUUUGGCUAAAAUCGGAAUGGUUUCAGCCCAGGCAAUGCACUGAAAAUAUUCUCACUUAAUUUCCACCACACUCUUAUGAAGUUGCUAUUUUUAUUCCCAUUUUACAGAUGAGGAAACUGAGGUUAAGUCACAAAGUGAUCUCUGGACUGAAAACCCAGCUGGCAAGUUUAUCCUCGCAUAACUAUUCACAGUUCAUAUACCAUGGCAACUGUAUUGUUGGAGGACUGAUGUUAUAUAACUAAACCAUGGUCCUGAGUUCGUGCACCUGAGCUAUGUAAAAUGAGGACACAUAACAGGGUAACUAGAGAAUGUCACGGUGGGUACGCAAUAGAAAUUCCCAACUUGUAGAGGCACAGAAGGUUACUUGGAGAAGCUGACACACAUGCUAAGACUUGAUAAAUAAAUAGAAACUAAUCUGACACAGGAGGGGUGUAGGGAAGAUUGUUCCGGGCAGAGAUUAAAGUAGGUAUAAAGCUCCAAAUGUAAGACAGUGCAUGGAGUGUAGGGUGGCAGUCAUGGUUGUUUCAGGCUGAUUGUGGGUGAUAAUCCCAAUACGUUAUUUUCAGGCUGCAGGCUGUUGUCCCUGGGAACCAGGCAGCACUGGCUGGAAUUGGGAAUUUGGAAUGCUGUUUCACGACAGUCACCUGAAGAAGGUGUUGAAGGACCAUCAACUACUGCCCUCAGACCAAGAGGCCCACCUUUGGCAGCUAGGAAAGUCACCAGGAAAAUGAAACCAAAUCAAACAAAAUGACCUUAGAUGCUGGUUUGCAUACAUGACCCAGGGAACACUAAUGGUUCAGAUGCAAAUGCCCUAAGUAUAGGAUGGUAUAAAGCAAAGAGAAAAUUCCUUUCAAAAGUCACAAUUCAAAAGGCUGGUUCAAAUCUUUAAAUGACAAAUUGUAUUUCUAGUCAAUACAGAGUACAGUAUCUUAAUCUAUUUGGCUAAAAUCGGAAUGGUUUCAGCCCAGGCAAUGCACUGAAAAUAUUCUCACUUAAUUUCCACCACACUCUUAUGAAGUUGCUAUUUUUAUUCCCAUUUUACAGAUGAGGAAACUGAGGUUAAGUCACCAUGGGAUCACAGAACUGGUCACAUGUAGGAUUUAUCCUAAAGCUUGUACCUUUACCUAAUAUACCAUCAGUAUGUUUUAUUUCAAUACAUGGAGAUAAACACAGAUGCCAAACUGAGUGAUUAUUUCGUAUA
rnacentral:lncRNA from 1 species